rnacentral:rRNA from 1 species
ACUGGUGAGUAACACGUGGAUAACGUACCCCGAUGUCCGGGACAGCCUGUAGAAAUAGAGGGUAAUACCGGAUAGAUCACUGUUUACGUGAGGUAGACAGCGGGAAAGGAGCUUCGGCUCCGCGUCGGGAACGGUCUGCGGCCCAUCAGCUAGACGGCGGGGUAAGUGCCCGCCGUGGCGAGGACGGGUAUCCGGCCUGAGAGGGCGGACGGACACAUUGGGACUGAGAUACGGCCCAGACUCCUACGGGAGGCAGCAGGUAAGAAUAUUCCGCAAUGGGGGGAACCCUGACGGAGCGACGCCGCGUGAACGAAGAAGGCCGGAAGGUUGUAAAGUUCUUUUCUGUUCGAGGAAUAAGUGUAGGAGGAAAUGCCUGCAUGGUGACGGUAGGGCAGGAAUAAGCACCGGCUAAUGGCGUGCCAGCAGCCGCGGUAACACGUAAGGUGCGAGCGUUGUUCGGAAUUAUUGGGCGUAAAGGGCAUGCAGGCGGGUCGCCAAGCUUGGUAAGAAAUACCGGGGCUCAACUCCGGAGCUAUAUUGAGAACUGGCGAGCUAGAGUUGCCGAAGGGUAUCCGGAAUUCCGCGUGAAGGGGUGAAAUCUGUAGAUAUGCGGAAGAACACCGAUGGCGAAGGCAGGAUACCGGCGGACGACUGACGCUGAGGUGCGAAGGUGCGGGGAGCAAACAGGAUUAGAUACCCUGGUUAGUCCGCACAGUCAAC